AGCUCCGUGGCCUAGUGGUUAGGGUAUUCGGCUAACGAUCGUAAGAUACUGAGUUCAAUUCCCUGCGACGCGU
rnacentral:tRNA from 1 species